rnacentral:rRNA from 1 species
AGAGUUUGAUCCUGGCUCAGAUUGAACGCUGGCGGCAGGCUUAACACAUGCAAGUCGAACGAUGACUCUCUAGCUUGCUAGAGAUGAUUAGUGGCGGACGGGUGAGUAACAUUUAGGAAUCUGCCUAGUAGUGGGGGAUAGCUCGGGGAAACUCGAAUUAAUACCGCAUACGACCUACGGGUGAAAGGGGGCGCAAGCUCUUGCUAUUAGAUGAGCCUAAAUCAGAUUAGCUAGUUGGUGGGGUAAAGGCCCACCAAGGCGACGAUCUGUAACUGGUCUGAGAGGAUGAUCAGUCACACCGGAACUGAGACACGGUCCGGACUCCUACGGGAGGCAGCAGUGGGGAAUAUUGGACAAUGGGGGCAACCCUGAUCCAGCCAUGCCGCGUGUGUGAAGAAGGCCUUUUGGUUGUAAAGCACUUUAAGCAGGGAGGAGAGGCUAAUGGUUAAUACCCAUUAGAUUAGACGUUACCUGCAGAAUAAGCACCGGCUAACUCUGUGCCAGCAGCCGCGGUAAUACAGAGGGUGCGAGCGUUAAUCGGAAUUACUGGGCGUAAAGCGAGUGUAGGUGGCUCAUUAAGUCACAUGUGAAAUCCCCGGGCUUAACCUGGGAACUGCAUGUGAUACUGGUGGUGCUAGAAUAUGUGAGAGGGAAGUAGAAUUCCAGGUGUAGCGGUGAAAUGCGUAGAGAUCUGGAGGAAUACCGAUGGCGAGGGCAGCUUCCUGGCAUAAUAUUGACACUGAGAUUCGAAAGCGUGGGUAGCAAACAGGAUUAGAUACCCUGGUAGUCCACGCCGUAAACGAUGUCUACUAGCCGUUGGGGUCCUUGAGACUUUAGUGGCGCAGUUAACGCGAUAAGUAGACCGCCUGGGGAGUACGGCCGCAAGGUUAAAACUCAAAGGAAUUGACGG